UACGAAGGGGGCUAGCGUUGCUCGGAAUCACUGGGCGUAAAGCACACGUAGGCGGAUUGUUAAGUCAGGGGUGAAAUCCUGGAGCUCAACUCCAGAACUGCCUUUGAUACUGGCGAUCUUGAGUCCGGGAGAGGUGAGUGGAACUGCGAGUGUAGAGGUGAAAUUCGUAGAUAUUCGCAAGAACACCAGUGGCGAAGGCGGCUCACUGGCCCGGUACUGACGCUGAGGUGCGAAAGCGUGGGGAGCAAACAGG
rnacentral:rRNA from 1 species